rnacentral:tRNA from 1 species
CCUCGGGUGGUGCAGUGGUUAAGCACUUGACUCCUAACCAAAUGUUGGUGGUUUGAACCCACCCAGAGGU